rnacentral:lncRNA from 1 species
UAUUUUACAGUGCUUAUCCAGUGACCUUUGGGGUAUCACAAUAGCAAUGGCCAAAACAGUUUACCAAAUUGCAGUUAGAUUUCUUCUCCAACUAACUGAUCAACUGGUAAAAUGUUUUAGCAGAUUGCUCAAGUGAAAUGUUGUUAGUAUGAAGUGAGUGCUGUAAAAUCAAAAGUAAUACUUACCAUCCAGAUCCAGUUAGUUGAUAUCUUUGUCAUUUGUUUCAAACACAAAAAUGACUUACUAUAGUAUGAGUCACUGAAUAAGAAGGUCUAAUUUUGACAUCGAAACUUCUAUCAUAAAUAGAUUUUAUAAAUAAAUAGUUCAAACCAUUGUUUUGUAGAUGUAUAUUUUAUAGCUUUGUCUUCUAAGACAAAGUUAUUGUGUAAUUAUGAUUCGUAUAAUAUUUUCUAUACAAAUUACUGAUCUGCUGGCAUUAAAGGGAAAUAAUUUUUAUUGAGUUAUUGUACACUAAAAAAUUAAUCAAUGAUACCUGGC